rnacentral:lncRNA from 1 species
UGGAAUACUACUCGGCAAGAAAAAGAACAGUUGAUACUGUCAACAACCUAGAUGGAUCUCAAAAUAAUUUGGUUUAAUGAAUGAAGCCAAACUUAAGAAGAAGAGUACGUUGUAUGUACUUGGAGAACUAAUUUCUUGCAAUAGAUUUCUAAGCACUAUUAGGAGCAUAUGACUUAAACAAUUUUUAAAAGUCAGGGAGUAAGUAUGCUUAAAUAAAAUAUAAUCUGUGAAACAAAUUUCUGAAUUAUUAUCACUUCACUGGACACUCUAACUUGACCAUAUUUCUGACUUUAAUGUAACUCUCUCUUAUUCCGUAGUCACAUGUUUGCUUGCUCAUUAGUUCACAUAACGUUUAUUCAGCAUCUGUUUGAGCCAAGGCACUGUAACUACCUGUUUUUUUUUUUAUUUACCAUACUUUUGUAAGGUCCUUUUUCUUUGGCUGCUUCUGAUUACAGUAAACAUAGGAAGUUUAAUAAAACAAUUUUCAUGACUGAGGAGAGAGCAUUUUGUUUUCAAAAUUAUGUAUGUGUGAAUGAAUGAACGACAGGAUCUUGCUGUGUUACCCAGGAUGAGGUACAGUGGUGUGAUCAUAGUUCAUUGCAGGCCAGAACUCCUGGGCUCAAGUGAUCCUCCUGCCUUUUUUUUUUCUUCUUUUUCUUCUUCUUUUUUUUUUUUUUUAGUAGAGAUUGAGGUCUUGCUGUGUUGCACAGGCUGGUCUUGAACUCCUGGGCUCAAGUGAUCCUCCUGCCUCAGCGUCCCAAAGUGCUGGGAUUAUAGGCAUGAGCCAUUAUGCCUGGCCAGCAUUCUUCAAUGUCUACCGAACUUGAUUAUAUCUUUCUUAUUUUUGUUUUAACUUUUGGGUUUCCUCCUACUGGGUUAGUAAUGUCUUAUAAAACAAAGAGGUCAAGAGAAAGAUUUGUUUUGAGUGUGAAUGACUGGUUGGUAAAAGAUGUUGCUAAAUCACAAAUUCCCUUAGUAGGUGGUUGGAAAAAUGUUGCUCCUUAUGAAAUAGAAGCACAAGAAAGAAAUAACUAAGAAUAGAACUGUUGAAUAAAUUUUCAGUGUAGCAAAGCAUAAAGUAUGUAUUACCUUCAAAACCAUUUCAAAUGACCUACAGGGAAGGAGAAAGCAUAAAUUGGAUAGGUUUUUAAAAUCUAAAAAACAUGGCUAAGACUUCACUUCUAUAAGUAGGGUAAUCAUAGCUCCCUGCAGCCUCUAUCUCCUGGGUUCAAUGGAUCCUCCCACCUCAGCCUCCUGAGAAGCUGGGACAACAGGCAUGUGCCACUGUGCCCAGCUGAAGUGAUCCGCCUGCCUUGGCCUCCCAAAGUGCUGGGAUUAUAGUAGUGAGUCACCAUGCCCAGCCCCAAAG